CAGUCCAAACGCUGGUUUCCAGAGGGUCAGACACGUAUUUAUUUGAAAGAGUAAGUUUACAACAACACAACAUGUGAGGGGGUUAAAAACAAAUGGGUGUUAGUAAAAUAAAAAUAAAUAAACAGAACUAAAAGUGAACUUCAUGUUGACAUUGAUGGGCAUUCCAACCAGGAACAAAGUAAAAGAUAAUCAAUAGGAAAAAAAACUCUUCCUGUUCACCUCUUAAAACCCAAAAACAGCAGUAGCAUCCUAAACUAAAACUACCAAUGUGUUCCCUGUUUUCCUUUGUGAACAAUUCAAAGGUCCCUCUCUAUCUCCCCACACAUCCACCAACCACUGGAACACAUCUCCAAAGUUCUGCUGGACCAGCUCAGCUUCCCCUCAGAAGAAAUGCUGCCACCUGCCAGAUGAAGGAGCCUUUUGAGAGGCAGCUGGCAUCGUGAUUGGACUGUACUUUGGUCUGUUCCAGUCCAGCUUCAGCUCCAGAGACGGCAGGCGGGACGAGUCAAUGGAGGCCGGAUGGACGAAGGCAUGCAGCUGAGUACAAUCCAGAAAACAACAGAGGAGGAGUGCAGCAGCCCAGAGCCAGAACAACCAGAGUAGCAUGACCAAAGAACUACAGACUCUUCACAACCUGCUCAAACUCUUGGUACAGGACCUCACCACACAGGUCAAGAAGGUUUCCUUCUCCUCAUUUCUACUCUGAAGCUCACCUUCUCCUGCUCAAACUGCUGAUAAAUGUUUCUGCUGCUCUAAAGUCUGGUCUCCAGAACUUCCUAAAAACUCUCAAAGUCUCUUCUGCUGCAGGUUGCUUUGUAGAACUGUUCCAGAAAACCUCACUAAACCACAUGGAGGGGCCUCAAGAUAGUCGUCCAAAUGAAACCAUACAAAAACCAAACUAGCGCAACCCAAAGGCUAAAGUCUCCUGCAGCCUACCAGAGAACCUCUGAGAACAGAGAAUCAGGACAGGAACUCUUACCUUCUGGACAACCAACGCUGGUUCUCAAACAAGAAUACAGAAUGUGUCUGACCAAAAACCUCUAAAGACUCACUACAGCCAAGAUAAAGACACAACUCAGCUGCAGCAAAUCCACUAAUCACUGCACACAUCAGCACCAUGUGCUAACUGUGGCUAAAGAACCACAUUUACCAAGACAACUAUCCAGUACAAAGCCCUAAAACACACCAAGAAACACAUUAAAGAUGAUUUUACUGCUGGAAGCUGCAAACCAACGCCUAAAGAACAAACUAAAGCAAUGGAGCCAAACCCGGUUCAGUGGUGAAGAGAAACAGAGGAAAUGUUUGUCUGCAGCUAAAUAAAGCAGGAAGACACUGAGCUGCUCAGGUGUUCCUGAUAACACCAAGCUGCUCAGGUGUUCCUGAUAACACCAAGCAGCCACCUGGACAGCCAAUAGGAACACAGCUUACUGGAAGUCCAGAGGGCUGGGUUAGUCAAGGAAAUUUAGUUUAAAGUUGAAGCAGAAAGUUAACAAAGAAAGUUGAAAACCACCUUCUGAUCCCUGAAAUCUCUGAGUUUUCACACAAAGAACACCUGAACAUGUCAAACUGGUUCCAUAGUAGAACCAUCAUUGUAAAAAUGUCAUAUUAUGGUGUGUUGCUCAAAAAACAUUAGGACCCGGCUGUCUAGGGUCGCCGAGGAGCAACAUAAAAACAGGACAAACGCUGGUUUCCAGGGGGUUAGGAGGAUAUUUAUUUGAAAGAGGAGUCCUGAAAUAAAAUUACAGUUGUGGAUUUCUGUCAUUUAGUCUGGACUAAACAAAUAACAGCAGCAUAAAUCUCAAACGUCAUUAUGAGGAGUCUGGAUUGAGGUUUCUCACUUGAUAAUGAUCAAAACAUGAAAUUUAGGUUGGUUUAAAGGAAUAUUCCACCUUAAAUCUUUGAAUGUUGACCUAAAAGGUUGGUUUCAGGAAGUAUUCCACCUACAAGGUCCUCACACAUCCACCUUAAAGGAACAUUCCAUCAAAAAUCCUUGGACAUGCACCUAAAAUGUUGGUUUAACCGAGUAUUCCAUCCAGAAUCCUCAAAGAGACCUGAGGGGCUGGAUAAAAGGAAUAUUCCACCUAAAACCUCAACUAUAGACCCCAAAGGGUGGUUUAGAAAAAAUCCUUCAAUGUAGACCAAAAAAGUUAGUAUGGAGGAAUAUUCCACCUGAAAUGUAGACCUGAGAAGUUGGUUUGGAAGAAUCUACCAUCCUAAACAUCCUUAAAUGUAGACUAAAAGACGGUUUGGAAGAAAAUUCCACCUAAAAUCCUCCAAUGUAGACCUAAAAGGUGAGUUUAAUGGUAUAUUCCACCUAAAAUUCACUACUGUAGACCUUGGAGGUUGGUCUCAUGGUAUAUUCCACCCAACAUCCUUGAACAUAAACUUAAAAAGUUCGUUCAAAGGAAUAUUCCACCUAAAAUCCUUCAAUGUAGACCAAAAAAAUCUUGGUGUAAAGGAGUAUUCCACCUUAAAUGUAGACCUAAAGGAUGGUUUGGAGUAAUAAUCUACUCUAAAAUCUUCCAAUGUAGACCUAAAAGGUUGAUCUGAUGGUAUAUUCUACCCAACAUCCUGGAACAUUUACCUAAAAGGUUGGUUUAAUGGUAUAUUCCCAGAAGAACCCGUGAACAUUGGGCUUAUUGGUAUAUUCCACCUAAAAUACUUGUACAUAUACCAAGAAGUCAGUGUAAAGGAAAUGUAGACCUAAAAGGAUUGUUUAAAGGAAUAUUUAAACUAUUAUUUUCAUUAUUUAAUAAUCUGUUAUCAGUCAGAACCCUGGCAAACUUAUUUUCUUCAGUUUUUUUAGUGGAAGUCACAAAUAAAGGAGCUCUUGGUUUUUCCUGGC